CUAUACAUGACUCUGCGCAUAUCAAUAAGCGGAGGAAAAGAAACUAACAAGGAUUCCCCUAGUAACGGCGAGUGAAGCGGGAAGAGCUCAAAUUUGAAAUCUUAAAGGGUUUCCCUUUACGAAUUGUAGUUUAAAGAAGUGUUUUCUGUUGAGGUUUUGGUAAAAGUUCUUUGGAAUAGGACAUCAUAGAGGGUGAGAAUCCCGUAUUUGACCUUUACUUUCCAACUUUGUGAUACACUUCAAAGAGUCGGAUUGUUUGGGAAUGCAGUCCAAAAUGGGUGGUAAAUUUCAUCUAAAGCUAAAUAUUGGCGAGAGACCGAUAGCGAACAAGUACCGUGAGGGAAAGAUGAAAAGAACUUUGAAAAGAGAGUUAAACAGUACGUGAAAUUGUCAAAAGGGAAGCGUUUGACACCAGUGUUGUUUUUCUGAAAAUCAAUUAAAGAACUGUUUAUGCUAAGUUGUUUAGACUUUAUCAGCUAUCUGUUUAGUUUUGAGCUUUUCUUUAAUGCACUUUUCAGUUAACAAGUCAACAUCAAUUUCUUUUGCUGUAAAAAAGCUUGAGGAAGGUGGCUUGAGAUUCGUCUUAAGUGUUUAUAGCCUCUUGCCUAUGCAGUCGGAGAGAUUGAGGUCUGCAGCGUAGAUCCUUCGGGGCUAAAUGCAUUUGUGCUAAGUUAUAGCAUUUUAUAGACAACUUGUUGACUAUGAUUUGUCUUGUAGCUUACUCGCUUAUGUUAUUUUACCUACGCUUAGGAUGUUGAUCUACAGAGCGAGAGU
rnacentral:rRNA from 1 species